GACAGAGGGGGCAAGCGUUGUCCGGAUUUAUUGGGCGUAAGAGCGUGUAGGCGGCCAGGUAGGUCCGUUGUGAAAACUCGAGGCUCAACCUCGAGACGCCGAUGGAAACCAUCUGGCUAGAGUCCGGAAGAGGAGAGUGGAAUUCCCGGUGUAGCGGUGAAAAUGCGCAGAUAUCGGGAAGAACACCCGUGGCGAAGGCGGCUCUCUGGGACGGUACUGACGCUGAGACGCGAAAGCGUGGGGAGCGAACAGG
rnacentral:rRNA from 1 species